UAUGCAUAUAUGUUGCUCCAUAAGGGAGCUGGGCACCCUGUACACCCCUAAACCUGCCACUGAUAUGGUUACAAAUUUACUAGACAAAAAUUAAGAUAUACAAAUAUUUCCACAAUUUCAAAAUUAUUAUUUUUUUUUGUAUUUGAAAUAUAUGUUGGAAUUCAAAACAUUUUUACUCAGUAUAUUUAUCUAUUGCAAUUACAAUUUUAUUCUAAUAUUUAAAUCUUGACAUUACAGUUAUUGCAAUCUUUUCGGUGAUUAUAUUUAUUAAACUUUCGUAGUGUUUAAUCAGAUGGUUCACUUAUAUCAACAGCGUCCUUUAAAUCUGUUAUAGUCGCGAAGUCCCCAUAAAAAGGUACGUGGGAAACUUGCACUUCUCAAACAUUCCAAGAACGCCUUGUCGCAGUUGCAGUUUUUGUAGUCGCAAGAACCCAGAUUAUCUGCAAAU
rnacentral:lncRNA from 1 species